rnacentral:sRNA from 1 species
GCAGAAUUCAGUGAAUCAUCGAAUCUUUGAACGCAAAUGGCGCUCUUGGGUUCUCCCAGGAGCAUGUCUGUCUGAGUGUCUUUUUCGUUGAAUGACAUUCGCACGAUGUGGCCGUGUUAUGCACUGGCGUUUCGUGCGGCGUUGAGGUUCGCGGCCUUGCUAUUCUUAGGCCGCGUGCCUUUAAAUGGAGGAGGAAGAUGGGCUCAAGGUCCGGUGCAGUCGCAUGCGGAUUCAGUUCAUGUGCCGCAUGUGACUGCUGCACCGGGAAUAUUGUCCUCGGCCCUCUACCUCGUGACCUUUAGCACGACGCUCGUUCGUUCGUUCGUUGCUUGCCGCCAGACCUCAGAUCAGGCAAGGCUACCCGCUGAAUUUAAGCAUAUUAAUAAGCGGAGGAAAAGAAACUAACAAGGAUUCCCCCAGUAACGGCGAGUGAAGCGGGAAGAGCUCAAAUUUGAAAUCUCCGAUGCCUGCAUCGGCGAGUUGUAGUUGCGAGAAGCACUUUCUAGGCGGAAGGGCCCUGCCUAAGUUGCUUGGAACAGCACGUCGCAGAGGGUGACAACCCCGUCU